GCUGGGUGCUGUGUUUUGUGCCUGUAAUCCAAGCGAUUAGGCUGAGGUGAGAGGAUUGCUUGAGCCCAGGAGUUGCGGGCUGUAGUGCCCAGUAGGUGUCUGCACUAAGUUUGGCAUCAAUAUAGUGAUCUCCUCUGAGGGAUGCUGGUGGUGGUGAUGGACCAACAGGCUGCUGAGGGAAGGGUGAACUGGCCCAGGUCGGAAACAAAGCAGGUCAAAACUCUUCCUGCUGAUCAGUAAUGGGAUCACACCUGUGAAUAAGCACUGCACUCUAGACUGGGCACCAUAGCAAAAAUCUGUCUAU
rnacentral:SRP_RNA from 1 species